GAUGAUCGCUGUGACAGGUGGAAUAACUGAGACAUGGCUGGAUGAUAGCUAUGACUGGGCAGUUAAUGUACAGGUUUAGAGUCUGUUUAGAAAAGAUUGCCAAAAUCAGAGAGGGGGAGGGGUCUGCCUUUAUGUAAAGUCCUGUCUAAAGCCCACAGUCCGAGAAGAUAUAAGUGAGGGACAUGAACAUGUGGAGUCACUGUGGAUAGAAAU